UCCGUAGGGCGCAAGCGUUGUCCGGAAUUAUUGGGCGUAAAGAGCUCGUAGGCGGUUUGUCGCGUCUGCUGUGAAAACUCGAGGCUCAACCUCGGGCUUGCAGUGGGUACGGGCAGACUAGAGUGCGGUAGGGGUGACUGGAAUUCCUGGUGUAGCGGUGGAAUGCGCAGAUAUCAGGAGGAACACCGAUGGCGAAGGCAGGUCACUGGGCCGCAACUGACGCUGAGGAGCGAAAGCAUGGGGAGCGAACAGG
rnacentral:rRNA from 1 species